UACGGAGGGGGCAAGCGUUAUUCGGAAUUAUUGGGCGUAAAGGGCGCGUAGGCGGCUAGAUGUGUCAAAGGUGAAAUCCCUCGGCUUAACCGAGGAACUGCCAUCCAGACUGCUUUGCUUGAGGCCGGGAGAGGUGAGUGGAAUUCCCAGUGUAGCGGUGAAAUGCGUAGAUAUUGGGAGGAACACCAGUGGCGAAGGCGGCUCACUGGACCGGUUCUGACGCUGAGGCGCGAAAGCGUGGGGAGCAAACGGG
rnacentral:rRNA from 1 species